AUUGAACGCUAGCGGGAUGCCUUACACAUGCAAGUCGAACGGAGUGGCGAACGGGUGAGUAAUGAAUCGGAACGAGCCUGGCUGCGGGGGAUAAAUACGCGAUAGCGUAGCUAAUACCGCCUACUAGUGGAGCGGCCGAUCUCGGAUUAGCUAGCUGGUGGGGUAACGGCUCACAAAGGCGACGAUCCGUAGCUGGUUUGAGAGGACGACCAGCCACACUGGGACUGAGACACGGCCCAGACUCCUACGGGAGGCAGCAGUGGGGAAUUUUGCACAAUGGGGGAAACCCUGAUCCAGCCAUCCCGCGUGUGCGAUGAAGGCCUUCGGGUUGUAAAGCACUUUUGGCAGGAAAGCGGUACCUGCAGAAUAAGCACCGGCUAACUACGUGCCAGCAGCCGCGGUAAUAC
rnacentral:rRNA from 1 species